GCCGCGCGGGCGGGGCUGUGAGGGGAGCCGCGGAGGGCGGGGCUCCUGCUUCAUCCGUCCUCUUGAGAGCGCUCUUGCUUCGCUUUUUGCUUUUGUCUUGCUUGUUUCGUUGCGCUGGGCUUUUUAAUUAAAAGGAUGGAUGCAUUCAAGCAGGUUCCUGCUUCCAGGAGUUUAUGCUUCUGGAGAGCUCUUUGUCCGCAGCCCUCAGCACUUGAGUUUGUCAGACUGGCGUUUCUCCCUCUUCUCUCCUCUUUUCACAGGAGAAGAGGCGUCACUGUCUAUGUUUUUACUUUCCUUGGGAGGUGGUGGCCAGGCGAGUUGUUGCAGCAUUUUGGAGAAGCCCUCAAUAAAUGAGGUGUGCUAAGUGUGGGGGUUGCUGGCUGCAAAGAGCUCACACAACUGCCUGUGCAGCGCUGUACGCCGUCCUUACACUGGAAAAGCUUAGCCUAGAGUUUAUUCAGAAAUACUUGGAGAAUUCUGUGUGGCAAAGCAAUGAGUGCCUUGCAGCAGUACUCUAAGCUUCAGUCUGCUGAGGUGAUGCCUUUAGAACCAGCGCCAGAAAAACAAAUGCAGUUUUUCUCAUGGUCUGAGGGAAGUAGGUUUCCUUUAUUUUCUUGGUUAUCCCACCCAGUGUUCUCUUGUGCAUUGCUGGUGGCCAAAAGCAAAUAAACGCUCAUGAGCAUGCAGGGACCUGACAAAAAGAGCAAGAAAAGGGCAGCGAGUUGCGAGUUGUCUGGUGUGGGUGACUCAGUGCUAUGAGUUUGUUCAGAAACAAUGUCAGGAUGUUCAGAAACGGCACUGGUGUGGUGUCACUCCUCUGUAUCCAGAUGUCGGUCAGUCCUGUAUGUGGGUUAUCUGACAGUAUAAUCUGAAAUAUCUGAAGGAUGCGACUGCCACACUGAUGUUACCACCUAGAGAUGGGGUGGACCUAUCUUCUACGCCUCUGACUCCAUGCUACCACGAUUCUUGACUUCAGAGUUGAUAUGGACACUGAAAGGCAAAGGCGAAUGGAAUCCCUAGCAAACAAGUCUGAGAGUGCGCUCCAGCUAAUAUGAUCCAUGCUGCUGGCCUUUCUGGACAUGCUCUCCAAGGAACCAGUGCUCUUUCUAACAAACAUAGCUAGGGCUUGGCCCAGACUUGAAAGCUGCCCUUCAGGGAUGGCAAGAAUUCAAACAGGUCUGGAUAGCUGUAGCUGAAUUACUGGUCGUCUUGUGAAGGUAACAGAGCACGCAGCACAACCUUGAACACUCCUCAGCCAACUCAGCUGCCAAGUGAAACUACUGAGGACCAGUCCAUGCUAAAUUGUUAUACUUCUGUAAGCAGCUGCGGAUUACAAUGCCACCUGCUCUCCUGAGACUUCUCUGCUGAGGAAAACUUACUGAAGUUGCAGUGGACAAAACUAAAGGGAUUUGCUUGCAAGACAGAAGGUUAUACCACAAAGCACAAGUCUCAUCAGAAAAUGAUAAAUCUGCCAGACUGAUCUGAGUUCCAGCCUGUACAAAAAUAAAGGGAAAAAGUCCG